AAAAGUGUAAUAUAGUUGGUAAAAUGUAAAGCUUAAAACUUUAAUUUAUUAGUUCGAAUCUAAGCACUUUGU
rnacentral:tRNA from 1 species